rnacentral:sRNA from 1 species
AUCUAGGGAGGAAAACAUCGAGAUUUAGUUUCCGUGUGGAUGAGUCUUAUGGAACAACCUCGUGUAGGUGAAGAUGAAGCUAGACCCAGACUGGAGCAGAAAUUCAAGCUGAGAGUAUCUGGAACCAUAGAAGUAACCAUAGAGUAAGGAGCCAUACGUGGUCAAGGGCUGACACUUUACCCCACGGAAGCUGAAGCAGGUGGAGACAAAGCUGUAUCAUUCAAUCUUAGACCCUUUGUUAAGAAAUGCCUACUUCUUGAAUGGAACUAAAUAUUGCCUUUGACAAGAUCCUGGUUACCACAAGGACAGAAAGCAAUGAUGAUCAGCCACUGACCGAAUCUCUGAAGCCAUGAGCCAGAUCCAAAUUAGACAUCUUUAAAGUAAAUCCGUUCCGUCAUUGCCUGUGGUGGAAUGGUGACUGACCGAGAGCUCAUCCCCGGUUAUUGUGGGGACUACAGCUGACAAUAUGAGCUGGGAGCCUUUGGGAACUUCUGAAGACGCAGGCAAGAGAAAGCCUAGGAUGCUGUUAAGCCAUUAAGUCUCGAGCAUUCCAGUGGGAGCCCAGAGAACUGAUACUGAGCUGCUCUGAGGGUCCUCUGCUCCUGGUCCGUGCCACUCACUCAGAGUCCUCUGCUACCUCUGCCAGGGGAGUACAGAUGGACGCCAUCUGUCCAGCACCAGGCUCUCUGUCUCACCCUCACAGACCUGCAUGGUGCACAGCAUGGAGAUACGUGAAGAUGGAAAGAGACACAAGUCCUUCUGGAUUAGACACAGGCUCUUUUAUUUUAUGUUAGGCGUGGGAAGCCGUCUGAGGGUGGAGGUGUGGCUCCAGAUGAAUAUGGGUCAGAGACCUAAGCUGGUGAUCUCUCUAGAGGAUGGCAUCCGGAUGGAUGAAACCCUCUGUCUUUUAAAACAGGUCCCUUCAGUGCUUUGUGUCAGAGUACAGGCCUCUGUUGCUUGAUCAGCAGGGUCCUCUGAAAGCUUCCUUGUGAUCUGUCUUCUUUUCUCCCCAUCCUAUGGGCUUUUUUGGACUUUGUAACCUUGUAAUUAUCCAAGCUCUGUUUCCUGAGCUUUAGGCACAGCUAGGUUUAAGUUUGGAGGAGGCCCUGUUUAUUACAAUCAGUGACAAUCACUGAUUUCUGUUUUCAAUGUAGAGCUUCUAACCCAGAAUGACCAAAGUGUUUCCUCCCUUAGCCCACUGCACAGAGUUCUGCCAUGGGAAAAUCUGGUGCCUCCAGGCUCACACUCACAAACCCAUCUGGAGCUUUUCCUGAUGCCCCACUGUGUUCCUUGUACAGCUGUCCACCCUACUGAAAACAUACUUUCAUUCCCCAUGGCUUUGCACACCUUUGUGUCCUCUUUCUCUUUCUUGUACACGUGACCUAAACCAUAUGCCAUGAACCUCAAGACACUCAUUUUGCCUUGGAGGGAAAAUGUAGUUUCAGUUAUUCAGAUUUAGGUUUCCGAGUAAGUAUUUUAUGAGUAUUAAUGUACACACGAAGGUGGACUUUAGAGUAUUAGAUUCAGUGUUAGUUAUGAGAACUUUUACUUUUAGGUGAAAUUUUUAUUUAUUAUACAGUAAGCUGCAGAGCCGCAGAGCCGUAGCAGGCAGAGAGCAUUCGUCAGCCAGCCCCAAGCACCAUCUGAGGCCCUCUGUCUUCUGAAGCAGGCCCUUCGAUGCUGGCCAGACAGUACAGGCACCUUGUCACUAGGCCAGCAGACUCCUCUGAAACCUUCCUUAUGACCUAGCUUACUUCUUCCCAUACUAUUUCUUUUUUUUUUUUCUGAUAGAUUUUCAGGACUCUGUAAUCUUUUAACGACCUGAGAUCUGUUUCUUGAACUUCAGGCUUGUUCAGUUUAAGUUUGGAGGGGGCCCUGUUUGUUUUGAGCCAGUAAAAGCCCAGCUGUGAAGACAAACCCUCGAGAGAGGCAAAGGUGACAGCUACAGCGUCAGCCUCUCCAGGGUGUCGAUUCUCAGCGGCUGACUUGGGUUCUGGCUUCUCCUCCUUUAGUUCCCUCUUACCUUUGCUGCUCUCGUUUCUCGCUCCCUGUACCACGCAUCUGUUUCGAGUUUUACCACUGCGAUAAGAGUGUUUUAUGCUGGCUUCUCUGAAUUAAAUAGAAAGUGCCGAGAGAAGUGUGGACAGUAAUGGCCAUGCCCAGUCCACACAGUGAGGGUGGGAGUGAGGCCUGCUGGAAACCGCACUAGAGUCCCUCCUUGUGUACCCUCCUUGGCACACACUGGCAAAGAACUUGACCGUAUUCUGUCAGUGCUCGGUAAGGCUGAAUGUCAUGGUGGAAAGAAAAAAUCAGGAUAGUAGAAAAUCCAGGCCACACAUGCACAUUGAUGCUAGCUGCUUUUAGUCGGAGAGGUAGUAAAAAGCAAAAAGGAAGCAGCCAAGGGGAAGAUCUGAAAACGGUACAAUUUACCCCAAAAAGAAAGACAUGUAACAUUCCAGGCUAGUGUCACAGAACACAGCCAUGACAGGCUCUCAAAGGCCUAAAAAAAUUAAACCCACUUAAAAUAUUUUAGUUUGACAGUCUCUGGGUGACUUGCACACACAAGGAAACCUUCGGAACUGCUUCUUUACGAUUCACUUCCCUCUAGUUAGGAAUGCAGAACCUCAUCUAGACGUGGUCUAGGGGCUCUGGUGCAACCCUAACCACUGACAGCCCUUCCUAGUGUUCAUGGGAUGCCGACUUUAUAAGCACAGGUAUGGGGGGCACGGGGCUGCCAGUGAACCACAGGGCAAAAUCUGCAAGUAGCUCUGACAGGGAGAUGUGAGAGUGAAGCCAAGGCUUCACGGUGGACCUCAGGCACUUACACACACCAGGAUCAUGGAACGAUGCCAGUGGAAGCUGUAGCCACCCCCACCCCCCAGAGGUAUGCGCAGGGAGACUGUACCCAGCAAGUCCACAAAGGCUGUGCUUCCAAAGCCCUUUGGAGCUCACUACUUGCUUUCCUGUACUCAGCAUGAUGGAUGUGAAACAAUAUUCUUCAGUGUUUCCUCUGUGGCGGUGUUUACUUUCUUUGGUCUACACCUCUAUUCCCCACCUCUGGAAAUGGAGACGUUUAAUUUGUGUUGUAGGGGAAGUUCAUAACCUGCUCCAUUAAUUUUUUACAGGGGCCAAGAGCUAAGGAUUUUCUUUGUUCCCCGAGGAGACCUUGCACUCAGACUUUUGACAGUGUUGGAACGGUUAAGACUCUAGACUCUUCUAAUUAACCCAGAAUAAUCAUGCCAUCUCACAGCAUCUCACGGUCGUGUCGUGUCAUCUCACAGAAGGGACAGUGGGAAUGAAGAACAGCCUCUGUACCCCUUCAGGACCACCAUAACUCCCCUCGGAAGAAGUCACAGUAGAGAUCACUGCGGACUCCUGUUUUGGGGCUGUCAGCGAGCCAGGGUGGGGCGAUCCUUCAGCAGCAUGGAUGUGCUGCUCUCAUUGAGAAUGUAUCUAGUGGGUGGCCAACAUACAGUUCAUCCAUUCCCGUCCAGAGGAUAAGCACUUUGCAAGCUUGCUUGGAGAGGUCUGACAGUCAAGCUGGUAGAAAAGGGUGUCUCAGUUCAUCCGGGUCACCCAAGAGUGGAACAAUUGUGAGUCGCAUGCUUCUGGGGAAAAAAAAAAAACACUUCCCUUACACAUUAUCAAAGUAGCCCAUCUUCAUGUUAUGUAAUAAAAAUUUUAGGGGAGUCUGUAAGCAUUCAUUUUUCCAUUGUAACUUUAGGAUUUUUUUUUUACUAGCAAUGGGCUCAUUUUCAAUAAACGGUGAAAUAAAUACUCUCUAAAUUGGGGUGAAAACAGCACAUAACUGGAUUCCUUCCUACUACUUGCGACUGGGUUCAUUUCCCACUUCAGUACAGUGUAUGCAUAAACAAUGAUAUAAGGGCAGUAUCUUGUAUUUUGGGACUGGAAUGUUUUGAUGAUAGCAGUCCACUGAGCCCCGGAGUGGA